GGGCACGUGGCGCAGCUGGUAGCGCGCAUGCUUAGCAGUAGGCAAGAUGGGACUUGAACCCACGCUUACGUAAUGCAUGAGGUCUUGGGUUCAAGUCCCAACUUGUCCA
rfam:Sistotremastrum suecicum HHB10207 ss-3 unplaced genomic scaffold SISSTscaffold_7, whole genome shotgun sequence.